rnacentral:pre_miRNA from 1 species
AGUAGAAUUGCUGGGUUAUAUGGUAACUCUAUGUUUAACUUUUGAGGAACUGCCGAACUGUUUCCUAAGGUGGCUGCACCAUUUUAUAUUCUCAUCAGCAAU